rnacentral:misc_RNA from 1 species
UCUCCGUAGGUGAACCUGCGGAAGGAUCAUUAUUGAAAAUAAACCUGAUGAGUUGAUGCUGGCUCUCUAGGGAGCAUGUGCACACUUGUCAUCUUUAUAUCUCCACCUGUGAACCUUUUGUAGACCUGAAUAUCUUUCUGAAUGCCCCUGGCAUUUAGGUUUGAGGAUUGAUUUCUCUUUCCUUACGUUUUCAGGUCUAUGUUUUUUCAUAUACCCUCAUGCAUGUCUAUAGAAUGUAAUAAGCAGGCCUUUGUGCCUAUAAACUUAUACAACUUUCAGCAACGGAUCCCUUGGCUCUCGCAUCGAUGAAGAACGCAGC